rnacentral:tRNA from 1 species
GCCGCGGUAGCUCAAUUGGCAGAGCAUCGCAUGAGAAAUGUGAAGGUUGUGGGAUCGUUCCCCACCUGCGGCA